rnacentral:rRNA from 1 species
AUUGAACGCUGGCGGCAUGCUUUAUACAUGCAAGUCGAACGGUAACACGCCUUCCGUUGUUGACGAGUGGCGGACGGGGGCGUAAUGCUUCGGAACGUAUCCCGUGCCUGGGGGUAACGCAGCGCAAGGUGUGCUAAUAGCUCAUGUGAUCUGAUGUUGAAAGCGGGGUACUUAGCAGCAAAGUUAGGCCUUUCGUGUUUGUAAUGGCCGAUGUCGAAUUAGCUAGUUGGUGGGGUAACGGCCUACCAAGGCAACGAUGCGUAGCUGACCUGAGAGGACGACCAGCCACACUGGAACUGAGACACGGCCCAGACUCCUACGGGAGGCAGCAGUGGGGAAUUUUGCACAAAGGGCGCAAGCCUGAUCCAGCAAUGCCGCGUGAGGGAAGAAGGCCUUCGGAUUGUAAAACGCUUUUAGCAGGGAAGAACAAAUGUGCGAUAAAAUAGGGCGGUAUUGACGGUACCUAAAGAGAAAGCAACGGCUAACUACGUG